AUUGUUCAUUGACAAAUAUUUUCGAUAUGUGAUUGCGCGAGUGCACGUUGUAAAAAACUUCGUUUCGUUAUUUUUCAUCAAUUGCCGGUAAUACUUGCGUUCCUAUUCGAGAAAGUAGCGUUUGUGUUGUAUGUGUAAUGACGACUUUGAUCUUGGCAAUAGAACCCGGCCGCACUUUUUCAGUGCUCUCUAAUCACAGUUGAAUAGCCUUUUCGAUGCUACAAUGUAAACACAUUACGCGCGACUUAAACCGGAAUAGACGCCGUAGCAGUGAAGGGAGUCUUCGUCUGCGAGCGAUCCUAACAGAAGACGAGCCCUUGUGAUUCUUAUUCGACAUAAAACUAAAGCAUUGUGGCCAACAGACUGUAAACGUGAAAAGGAGCAUCCCAUCAAUGAAAAUGGUGUGAGGGAGAAUGAGAAUGUGUGGACACCCAUUUGCUCUAGCUGUUAAUACGGCACAUGCUGCCACUUCCGCGUUCUUUCGCUUGUAAUAGGCACCUUGUCUGGAAAAACAAGAAAAAAACACAGGUGGCACUCUCUAGCAGAAUCUUGUACAAUAUGGACGGAAGAAACCAAAGGAAUUAUUUUGCACAUUGUGUUGUGACCGCACGCCAUACAUGAGCACAUGUACACAUGCCAACAUUGCAUUUGUAGAUAACAUUGUUAUCAUGCUGAUGAUUAGUUCAACUGCUUACUGCGUAUGUUGAUAUCUCCUUUUCUGUAAUUGUGUUGGCUGACUGAACAGUAACUGAUUGGCAAGUAGUGUUGUAAGCAAAAGUUUGUGCCAGAUAUUUGUUGCAGUGGCAUUGACACCUUCUCUUUGCUUUCUCUUACGAGGUGUGUGAUGCAAAGCUGAAUAUCCUGGCAAUUGACCCACGGUUUCCGGGAUAGUGCCACGAUUAUUUCGUUUGGAGGCAUUCUGCAUUUCGCCGCCGCCUCACUCGUGGCCUGUUACUUCAUGGAGAAGUCUUGCUUGCGACAUGUGGUGCUGGAGUGAUUAUAAAGGAUCAAACGGGUAGCUCGAGUUCGGGUACCUUCACGAGAAGAGGUACGAAAAGUAGAGUAAGGAUCCCAGAUACUGGCAGCAUAUUCGAGAGUAGACCUUAGAAGUGUUUUAUAAAAUAACACUUCUGAAGAGAGAAGAGCUAAUUAGUUUUAGUGGAGGAUGUACAUUUAGGGAGAAGCAAAUGGGAUGAGCGGAGCAGAAAACCAUGAGUAUGAAAUAAAUAUUACAUGUCCAACUUAACCCGAGAAUGAGAUUUGCAGCCGAGACAACAGGUGAAAUUGGGCUUUUCUUUAAAAUGAGUCGAACUUUCUUUACAACUUUCUGGGAAGGUCAAUGUUCGAUAGAUAUUGCAACAAUAAAUCCAAGACCCGCUGCUGUUGUAAAAGGGCCCUGGCGUAGACUGUGUUCUUGCAUUGUGCCUUAAUGUAUCCACGUUCGUUCACUGACGUGCAACACUUUACAGGGGACUCUGGGUACCCGCUAGAGCCAUGGAUCAUGACUCCUGUGCCUGAUGGUCACCCAAAUCGCCUCACGGCAGAGGGGCGCUAUAAUGAGGCACACGCAUCAAUGCGAAAUGCCGUUGAGCGGUGCAUAGGAGUCGUCAAGAGCCGCUUCCGAUGCCUGCAGAGGUAUCGGGUGCUCCACUACUCGCCUCAGAAAGCAGCCACUAUUGUUGCAGCUUGUGCAGCGCUGCAUAACCUCUGCCUUGCAGCAGGCGUGCCUCUGCCAGACGACCCAGGUGACGACGGUGCACAUGACGACAGCGCACAGGAGCCAGCCCAGGCACAAGUGACGCUUCAAGUACAGGUGCCACCACAGGCGCACCCUGUACAGCCUUCUCGAGCUUUGUUUCAAAGAGGCCGUGCGGUGCGUGAAUCCAUAGUUGGUGUGUUUCGGCUGCCCAGAAAUUUGCGCAUUGCCUACCUGCAAAGUGUGUGCCGGCGCAUUCGCUGGCAAAUGAGGUGGAGACAUGUGCUGGUGUAACAUGUUUUAUUUUUAUUAUCAUAAAAGUAAAUAGGCCGUGCACUUCAACAUAACACAUUGCGUGUGCUCACAUGUGGCUAAUCAUAGUAUGCUGCAUACUGCAGUAGUGGAAAGCACAUGAUUUGUCUAUGUUGAGCAUGACAGAUACACAUGCAGUGACAAAUAACCAUGUGCCAUUAUGUUACUCCUUUGCUUUGUUCACUGUGCUUUUGAAUAUUGUCUCGCCAGGGAAUUUUCUUUAAAUAAAGGUUAUUUCCAAGGUGAA